UACGAAGGGGGCUAGCGUUGCUCGGAAUUACUGGGCGUAAAGGGCGCGUAGGCGGAUACUUAAGUCGGGGGUGAAAGCCCUGGGCUCAACCUGGGAAUUGCAGUGGAUACUGGCAAGCUAGAGUGCGGUAGAGGAUGGUGGAAUUCCCGGUGUAGCGGUGAAAUGCGUAGAGAUCGGGAGGAACACCCGUGGCGAAGGCGGCCAUCUGGACCAGCACUGACGCUGAGGCACGAAAGCGUGGGGAGCAAACAGG
rnacentral:rRNA from 1 species